rnacentral:tRNA from 1 species
GGGCCCGUAGCUCAACGGUUAGAGCCGGCCGCUCAUAACGGUCUGGUUACAGGUUCGAAUCCUGUCGGGCCCA